GACGAACGCUGGCGGCGUGCUUAACACAUGCAGGUCGAACGGAAAGGCCCUGCUUUUGUGGGGUGCUCGAGUGGCGAACGGGUGAGUAACACGUGAGUAACCUGCCCUUGACUUUGGGAUAACUUCAGGAAACUGGGGCUAAUACCGGAUAGGAGCUCCUGCUGCAUGGUGGGGGUUGGAAAGUUUCGGCGGUUGGGGAUGGACUCGCGGCUUAUCAGCUUGUUGGUGGGGUAGUGGCUUACCAAGGCUUUGACGGGUAGCCGGCCUGAGAGGGUGACCGGCCACAUUGGGACUGAGAUACGGCCCAGACGCCUACGGGAGGCAGCAGUGGGGAAUAUUGCACAAUGGGCGGAAGCCUGAUGCAGCAACGCCGCGUGCGGGAUGACGGCCUUCGGGUUGUAAACCGCUUUCGCCUGUGACGAAGCGUGAGUGACGGUAAUGGGUAAAGAAGCACCGGCUAACUACGUG
rnacentral:rRNA from 1 species